AGGUCGCGCGAGUACAAGUGAGCAGAAGUGCGUCCGGAAUGUGCGCUGCAAGGUGACUCCGGCUCCUCCCACCCUGCCAGCCAGCCAGCCAGCAAAAAGCAACACGAAAGAAAGCCUUUUUCUCGCGUGCGGAGCAGAGGUAGCAGGCGAGCUGGCGGGCAAGAACGCAAUUUUGACGACAUUUCAACGGUGCCUGUGGACUUUACAGCACAAUAGAAAGGAAACAAAAGCCAAGGUGACGUCGUCUCUGGACCCGAGCUGGCCAGACCCGAGUGGAGCCACGCUAGAGUUAGAGUGCCUUCAGCAGCAAUGACCAGGGCGGCACACAGAACACAGACCCGUAAAUGGCGGAAAACAUGCGAGUCCGACGAACUGCGUUCCUGCUCUGCUUAUCUGUGCCGUUGCUGCGGAUCUUCGCUGUUUGUAUUCACACCUGAAGCGAACCGCAUUAGAGUUCACUUGGAAGUGGGUCUCGGCCCGUUUCUUUAAUACGCACCAGGAUUCGUUUGCGUGUAUUCACACCUGCACAAAUGAUCUGCACCAGCAUUACAAUUGAACCCUGGUCCCUUUAAAAAGGACCAAACAGUCAAGUCUGAAUACACCCUUAAUGUACAGCAUUCUUUGAAUUUGCCACUUGUUUGUGCCACUUGUGCAAAUCUUAAUGCUCCUCUUUCCACCCUCUAAGAAAAAAAUAUCUCACCAUCUAAAAAAAAAAAUCAACUUUCCACUGCAAAAUAAAUGCACAUUAUUUCGUUCAUUGUGAAAUAAAUAAAUGGCCAGCCAGAGAGUGUUUGUGCCGCUUGUGCAAAUCUCAAUGCUCCUCUUUCCACCCUUUUAACGCUGUCCUCCGCAAAUAAAUAAAUAAAUAAAUAAAUGCCACCCUAACCACAAAUUAUACCGUUAAAAGAAGACACGCUAAUGACAAGUCAGUAAGCGCUGACAUUCCGACAAUUACAAUGCAUGUUUGGUGAUGAAUGUUGGUCAUCAAUUCAAAGCGUCUGCAUGUGGAAAGACACGCUCAAUCCGUCAUUCAUCAGGCUCCAAAAAGCAGGACACCACAUCCUCUAUGAUGACAAGAUCAUAGAUGAAGAAACUCCUAUUGGGGCCAGUUAUUAUAUUCCACCCUCCACCUCCCCUCGUUAGGUCAUACAGGUACAACCGGUGACAGACUGUAAUCUGUGACACGCAACGGCACACAUACUUGGCAGUCCAUCAUGAACAUAGCAGACAUAUUUAGACUGAACAGGUAUACGUACACCUGCCGAGGCGCUUUCUGCCUCUAACCUUUGCUUAUCCGCCUUCAUCCUCCCCAAAAUCUCGCUCGUCCAUCACAAAUCUUUAGUCACACAUGACCCCGCCGGAUUAUGGAUAACAAGAUCCAUCUGUGGUUGCGUGUGGACACUGCUGACAGCAGAGAAGAGGAUGGCAAACACGGGGCCGUGCCAUGGACAAACAACGUGGAAAAAGUCGAGGAGCUACCUCCCAUCAGUCUGAGCAAUUCUCUGCAUUUUGCCUGUCCGGAUCCAAUCGUGGCUUGCCAUCAACAGACGCCCACGAGGCGCCAUUACUGCUUCUGCGUCUGUCGAUGGGGGAGGUGUGUUCUCUGUUUUGGAGUCAGAGCAAUCAACACUUGAGUUAUUUUCCAAUUUACGUUAGGGCAAACAAGACAAAGCCGAAUCCUGUGUGUUGCAAAUGGCAGACAAACCAACGAAGGGCAAGCAACAUGAACGACUGACCGCCGCUAAACACGCCAUCGCCACACGACCGGAGGAUUGCACAAAGGAACUCAUUUAUAACAACGGCUGGAGCGCAUCAGUUUUUUUUCUCUCUCUCCAAGCUGUCAUUCAUUUACGACCAGCACCCUUCUCUCUUAAAUCUGUCAUCUUGAAAAGUUCUUGUUGCUCUCCGCAUGCCAAGGCUGUGACACAGACAAUUGCGCUUUUUAAAACUCAGCUGCCGGCAGGCUGAGGAAUGUCUCAACAAGCUUGCAAGGGGGGAAAGACACCGAGCCUGAAGGAGGGAAGGAGGACGAGCUUUCCGCAGCGCCCCAAAGCAAGCCCCAUUGCAGCCGCCGUUGUUUUCAAACUCUUCUCUCAACAUCCCUCAGGUGUCGUCCACCAACGAAGCUGCCGCCCCCCAAAUGACGGGCUUUAUGGCCAGUAGGUCAACUGGGUCCUGGCGUCAUUAUUCGGGAUGGCACUGCAUGUUGGGAUGAUUCGGACUCAGUACAUGAGAGCAGGAAAAAUAAGAUAUGCUGGAAUCUUUUCCAGAGGGGGCUACAAAAGAAAGGCCUCUGAAAAGGCCGCGGCUGAGAUGAUACAGGCUCUUUUUCUACAGCUUCCUAAAUGCCCCCCACCUUGAGUUAGCAUGCUAGUAAAAACAAAGACGCACAACAGUGAUGGCAAUGUCACGCAUUGAGAUUGAUGAAAAUGGCUUGGACACGUAUGGCCUGACAACCCCGCGCGAGAACAGAGCACUCAGUGUGUGGUCUCAAAAGCAUUCCACAUACUUGGUGAAGGUAUGAGCGCUGCAGAGACACAAACGACUGAAGCAAUAAAGUCCUAAAAGUAUGCGCAGCCUUUGCUAUGAGGAAAUGAGAGCUUUUAGGUCUCGCCGAGCCAGACACUUAAAGACACUGCAGCCUUUCUUGUGCCUUUGCCACAAUGAGACUAUUGUACCUGAGGGAGGUGGAGAAACACGCACACAGGCGCGCACACGCACACAGACGUUCUAGCUUACUUGGUGCAAAGAUACAAAAAUCUGUUGACAGAUAGAAAUGAGGGCUGUAGCGGCCCUACCUCCCACUCAUUCCCGAGUCUACUGAGGCAAUAAUAAAGUGUCUUCUUUCUCUCCUGGUUCCUCUUGGCGCACCUUUCCCUCAUCCUUUCCCUCCAUUUGUUUGAUCUCCUUGCAGUCUCACAGUCCAGAGAGUUUGUUUUGCAAGCCUGGCUUUUAGGUAACAUAUCAGGCGCUUGAUUUGUUUUGUUUUGUUUGAAGUAGUCGUGAUGUGCGCUGUGGUGACGUGAGGUGCAUGUAGCAUUUUGUAAUUUUUCCUGAAUUAAGGACAAAACGGACUCGCGCCUUCAAUGUGGUAGCAGAAACGUAUGGUCACCAUUUUCUGGCAGCCCAAGGCUAAAGCGCUUUGCUUUACCAAGCCUUAUAUGCAAAAUGUAAUCUCUCUGGGAGUAAUGUAGCGGCGGUGCAAAGUGCUGGACAGCUCAUUGCACUGGUUGCAAUUGUCGUCCGUCCCAAGCUUUUUGCAAGUUUUCUCAUUUGCAGCAGUUUGCUGGUGUCCUGAUCCCCCAUUCAGCCUCCAAUGGGAGGUGACUGACACUCUUCUCUGGUCUCUUUUG